rnacentral:rRNA from 1 species
CCUACGGGAGGCAGCAGUGGGGAAUAUUGCGCAAUGGGGGAAACCCUGACGCAGCAACGCCGCGUGGAGGAAGAAGGUCUUCGGAUUGUAAACUCCUUUGAUUGGGGACGAAUAAUGACGGUACCUGAGGAGGAAGCCACGGCUAACUACGUGCCAGCAGCCGCGGUAAU